UUAUUGGAUGCAAUGAGGUUUAGGGAGAGGGUUAUUGAAAUGAAAGAAUAGGAAAACACAAGUUCCAAGCUACAUUGCAAGCAAUUCUUUUGUUUAGAUUUAUAAGAACUCAAUCUUUCCAGCAAUUCUUCUAGCACCUCCAACCACACCCUUAAACUGAAACUUUAAACUUUUUAUUUUCUUUGUAUACAAUCUUUCUUUUUUUUUCUUUUUCUCUUUUUUCCUUUUUUUUUUUUUUUUUUAAUCACAAACAUGAAAUACCCCCACACUUAUUCUUUUGCCAAACAUCUUCACAGUACUUCACCAACGUUUCUCAUAAGACAAUUUCGCAUUGCUCGCUUGGAAAGGGUAAGGAAAAAUGUUUCAGGUAUAAGGGUAGACAUAUCUGAUGAUAAGAAAUAAAAGGCUCAACAUACACGGCUCAAAUUGGCAAACUAAUGAUAUCAUUUUUCUUUGGGAAACAUGGUUAUUUGG
rnacentral:lncRNA from 1 species